ACUGUGUCCUUCAUGACCAUUUUGACAGUCAUAAUGGUUUGGUACAGCGUAUCUUUGUAUGCCCUUUUAUAUCCAAAUUCUGAGAUAAGCUGGACAGAGAUCGAACACAUUAUGUCAAAUGGUUAUUGGGUGUUAUUUGGAGAGUUGAACUUAGAUGCUGAAACAUUAACUGAACCGGAUUGCACAUUUAACAGAACAAUAUAUGAAAGAGGUGUUUUACAGCGAUGUCCUACAACACUUGGUUUACAUCUUGCACCUUAUCUAAAAGCAUUCUACGGAUUAAUAACAGUAAUAAUACUGAUGAAUCUACUGAUAGCUUUGUAUAGUGAUGCAUUUAAUGUAGUACAGCAAGAAUCGGAAGCAUAUUGGAGGAAGAUACAGCUUAAUUUUCUUGAGGAAUACUGCAUCAAAACUGCAUUCCCAAUACAUUUACAGCUACUAGC